GCUUCCAUGGCUCAGUUGGUUAGAGCGCCGGUCUCAUAAUCCGGAGAUCACCAGUUCGACCCUGGUUGGGAGCA
rnacentral:tRNA from 2 species